GCUUGCUCCUUUGACGUUAGCGGCGGACGGGUGAGUAACACGUGGGUAACCUACCUAUAAGACUGGGAUAACUUCGGGAAACCGGAGCUAAUACCGGAUAAUAUUUCGAACCGCAUGGUUCGAUAGUGAAAGAUGGUUUUGCUAUCACUUAUAGAUGGACCCGCGCCGUAUUAGCUAGUUGGUAAGGUAACGGCUUACCAAGGCGACGAUACGUAGCCGACCUGAGAGGGUGAUCGGCCACACUGGAACUGAGACACGGUCCAGACUCCUACGGGAGGCAGCAGUAGGGAAUCUUCCGCAAUGGGCGAAAGCCUGACGGAGCAACGCCGCGUGAGUGAUGAAGGUCUUCGGAUCGUAAAACUCUGUUAUUAGGGAAGAACAUACGUGUAAGUAACUAUGCACGUCUUGACGGUACCUAAUCAGAAAGCCACGGCUAACUACGUGCCAGCAGCCGCGGUAAUACGUAGGUGGCAAGCGUUAUCCGGAAUUAUUGGGCGUAAAGCGCGCGUAGGCGGUUUUUUAAGUCUGAUGUGAAAGCCCACGGCUCAACCGUGGAGGGUCAUUGGAAACUGGAAAACUUGAGUGCAGAAGAGGAAAGUGGAAUUCCAUGUGUAGCGGUGAAAUGCGCAGAGAUAUGGAGGAACACCAGUGGCGAAGGCGACUUUCUGGUCUGUAACUGACGCUGAUGUGCGAAAGCGUGGGGAUCAAACAGGAUUAGAUACCCUGGUAGUCCACGCCGUAAACGAUGAGUGCUAAGUGUUAGGGGGUUUCCGCCCCUUAGUGCUGCAGCUAACGCAUUAAGCACUCCGCCUGGGGAGUACGACCGCAAGGUUGAAACUCAAAGGAAUUGACGGGGACCCGCACAAGCGGUGGAACAUGUGGUUUAAUUCGAAGCAACGCGAAGAACCUUACCAAAUCUUGACAUCCUUUGACAACUCUAGAGAUAAAGCCUUCCCCUUCGGGG
rnacentral:rRNA from 1 species